UACAGAGGGUGCUAGCGUUGUUCGGAAUUAUUGGGCGUAAAGCGCGUGUAGGCGGUAACGUAUGUCGGGUGUGAAAGCCCUCAGCUCAACUGAGGAAGUGCGCCCGAAACUGCGAAGCUUGAGUGCUGGAGAGGGUGGCGGAAUUCCCGGUGUAGAGGUGAAAUUCGUAGAUAUCGGGAGGAACACCAGAGGCGAAGGCGGCCACCUGGACAGACACUGACGCUGAGACGCGAAAGCGUGGGUAGCAAACAGG
rnacentral:rRNA from 1 species